rnacentral:lncRNA from 1 species
CAAAACUCACCACAUUUCCAUGCCCCUGAAAUCUUGCUCUCCUGGCAGUAUGUUAAACUGAAGUGAUUCUGAUCCUUGAUGAGACAGAAAAGAAAGGCUCUGAAGUAGUGAAGGACACCACCUGCAUCAUUAAGAAUGGCUACAGUGUGGGCCCAGGCUGCCAACGCAUGAUGAACAAGGAACCCGUUCAGAUUACGAUGGUUACCAUAUCUUUAAGGUAAUCCAAUGCUGCCAGAGGUUGUGUGGGGAAUCCCUGCAUAACUGCACAUCAGUAAUUAAGCCAAGUUCCAGAACAAGUUUCAGAUUUAGGUCUUUGCAAAUGAAAUCCUCCCUCUUUUCUUCUGAAAAGAUUUCUAUAGGCAAAUCUUCAAAUAGGCCUAGCACUGAUAGACCC